UGCUUUUCAUAGGCUGUUUACAGACUUAAAAAAAACAACCCAAAACAUGGCUUUACUUGAAACUCCGCACACCCUCAGGCCAAGCCCAGCACAUGCCCAUAAGAGGCAUUGUGUUAGUUGGAUCCAGCUCACCCAAUGUCUUGUAUAGAUUGUGCGCUUCAGUGGGGCAUUUUGGUCCUUUUAUAUAAUAGCUGAUUGAAUC